AAGCUACACUCUGUGUCAAAAGUUGGAAACAACAGUGAUUUGGCUCAAUUUAAGCUUGCCACAGUAAAAUACAGCCUGACCUAUUCCAGCAAACUCUUGUCAGUUAAGUUUGUUGUUAUACAGGCUGUUACAUU